CGAAGAAGACGUUGCAAACUGCUCGCAUAAUAGUUGGCAAACUACUGAUUGUUCACACAAAGAAGACAUCGGGGUCAACUGCCAAACACACUUGCGAUUGACAUCCGGUAAUGUCAUAACCAUACACGACGGUCAGGUGGAGGUGAACAUUUCUGGGGUCUGGAACCAAUCUGUUCCGACAACUUCACCUUAUCAGAAGCCAGGGUCGUCUGCGGAAUGAUUGGAUUCAGUUUCAAUGGAGCACAGCUCACGUCAUCACAUACCUACCGAAAUACAUUCUCUCCGAUAUCCUACUCAUGCCAUGGAGCAGAAAAAGACAUUUCCUUGUGUGUGAGAAGGAAUACUAGCACGUGCUUUUUAUCCUCUGCGG